rnacentral:rRNA from 1 species
UACGUAGGUGGCAAGCGUUUGUCCGGAAUUAUUGGGCGUAAAGCGCGCGCAGGCGGUCCUUUUAAGUCUGAUGUGAAAGCCCACGGCUCAACCGUGGAGGGUCAUUGGAAACUGGGGGACUUGAGUGCAGAAGAGGAAAGUGGAAUUCCAAGUGUAGCGGUGAAAUGCGUAGAGAUUUGGAGGAACACCAGUGGCGAGGCG